rnacentral:tRNA from 1 species
CCCAGUGUGGCGAAGAGGCGCGAUUGUAGAGGGACGCGAAUUCCUUCGUCAAGCAUGGCGGGAGACUUUUCUUAU